rnacentral:rRNA from 1 species
ACGGAAGGCAGCAGUGGGGAAUAUUGGACAAUGGGGGCAACCCUGAUCCAGCGACGCCGCGUGAGCGAUGAAGUAUUUCGGUAUGUAAAGCUCUAUCAGCAGGGAAGAUAAUGACGGUACCUGACUAAGAAGCACCGGCUAAAUACGUGCCAGCAGCCGCGGUAAUACGUAUGGUGCAAGCGUUAUCCGGAUUUACUGGGUGUAAAGGGAGCGUAGGCGGUUUUAUAAGUCUGAAGUGAAAGCCCGGGGCUCAACCCCGGGACUGCUUUGGAAACUGUAGAACUAGAGUGUCGGAGGGGUAAGUGGAAUUCCUAGUGUAGCGGUGAAAUGCGUAGAUAUUAGGAGGAACACCAGUGGCGAAGGCGGCUUACUGGACGAUUACUGACGCUGAGGCUCGAAAGCGUGGGGAGCAAACAGGAUUAGAUACCCUGGUA